AGAGUUGAUCUGGCUCAGAACGAACGCUGGCGGCGCGUCUUAAGCAUGCAAGUCGAACGGCAAGAGGUAGCAAUACCUCCUAGAGUGGCGGACUGGUGAGUAACACGUGGGUGACAUACCCUUCAGAUGGGGAUAGCUAUUAGAAAUAGUAGAUAAUACCGAAUACGAGCACAGGGGUUAGAGAUCUGUGAGGAAAGGAGCUAAGGCUCCGCUGAAGGAAUGGCCUGCGGCCCAUUAGCUAGUUGGUGAGGUAAGAGCCCACCAAGGCGAUGAUGGGUAUCCCGGCCUUAGAGGGUGAACGGACACAUUGGGACUGAGAUACGGCCCAGACUCCUACGGGAGGCAGCAGCUAAGAAUAUUCCGCAAUGGACGAAAGUCUGACGGAGCGACGCCGCGUGGAUGAAGAAGACCGGAAGGUUAGUAAAAUCCUUUUGAAACUGAAGAAUAAGCGUUGUAGGGAAUGACAGCGUGGUGACAGUUAGGUUUUGAAUAAGCAACGGCUAAUUACGUGCCAGCCGCCGC
rnacentral:rRNA from 1 species